AGAGCGAACGCUGGCGGCAGGCCUAACACAUGCAAGUCGAACGGACUCUUCGGAGUUAGUGGCGGACGGGUGAGUAACACGUGGGAACGUGCCUUUAGGUUCGGAAUAGCUCCUGGAAACGGGUGGUAAUGCCGAAUGUGCCCUUCGGGGGAAAGAUUUAUCGCCAAGGGAUGAGCCCGCGUAGGAUUAGCUAGUUGGUGAGGUAAAGGCUCACCAAGGCAACGAUCCUUAGCUGGUCUGAGAGGAUGAUCAGCCACACUGGGACUGAGACACGGCCCAGACUCCUACGGGAGCAGCAGUAGGGAAUAUUGGACAAGUGGGCAAAGCCUGAUCCAGCAAGUGCCGCGUGAGUGAUGAAGGCCUUAGGGUUGUAAAGCUCUUUACCGAGAUGAUAAUGACAGUAUCGGAGAAUAAGCCCCGACUAAC
rnacentral:rRNA from 1 species